rnacentral:rRNA from 1 species
AUCUUGCGCAAUGGGCGAAAGCCUGACGCAGCAACGCCGCGUGGGGGACGAAGGCUCUCGGGUUGUAAACCCCUUUCAGCAGGGACGAAAAUGACGGUACCUGCAGAAGAAGCCCCGGCCAACUACGUGCCAGCAGCCGCGGUAACACGUAGGGGGCAAGCGUUGUCCGGAAUUAUUGGGCGGAAAGAGCUCGUAGGCGGCUCGGUAAGUCAGGUGUGAAAUUCCAGGGCUCAACCCUGGAACGCCACCUGAUACUGCCGUGGCUAGAGUCCGGUAGGGGAGCGUGGAAUUCCUAGUGUAGCGGUGAAAUGCGCAGAUAUUAGGAGGAACACCAGCGGCGAAGGCGGCGCUCUGGGCCGGAACUGACGCUGAGGAGCGAAAGCGUGGGGAGCAAACAGG